UUAAUAGAAGCCAAACAGAGGCAUAUCACUGUUAAUGAUAAAACUGGGGAUUACCCCCUAUUAAA
rnacentral:tRNA from 1 species